UACGAAGGAUCCAAGCGUUAUCCGGAUUUAUUGGGUUUAAAGGGUGCGUAGGCGGGCUAUUAAGUCAGUGGUGAAAGCCCCAAGCUUAACUUGGGAACUGCCAUUGAUACUGAUGGUCUUGAGUACACUUGAGGUGGGCGGAAUGUGUCAUGUAGCGGUGAAAUGCUUAGAUAUGACACAGAACACCGAUUGCGAAGGCAGCUCACUAAACUGUAACUGACGCUGAGGCACGAAAGCGUGGGGAGCAAACAGG
rnacentral:rRNA from 1 species